UGAACAACUUUUCUCCUUAGAGAACAAUGGAACAAAUGUGGAGGCACGCCUGGUGAACCAGCAUUUGUUCAAGGCCUUAGAAGGUUCCAGUUUCCACAUCCUGGAUAUCACCCACAUGAGUGAGUUCAGAGCAGAUGCCCAUCCAUCAACUACAGGUGGCAAGAAACAUGAUGAUUGCAUGCAUUGGUGCUUGCCAGGAAUUACAGAUUCUUGGAAUGACUUGCUUGUGGCACAUUUGAACAGCAUUCAUGGUGGAAGUAGAUAUCAAGAAUAAUCCUCAUCUGGAAAUGUCUGCUUGGUGAAAGAUUUGCAAGAUAAAUCAGACUGUAUUAGACAUGACCCACUCAAUGUCUUGAAGAGUUGAGUUUCUUAGUGGUGUGGAGUGACCACUCUGACCCACAAAGCAACAAGGGAGAUGUGGAAAUUGGAAGUCUGGAAGUUGUUUUGCAUCAUGAUCAAACACCUACAGAGAUUAUCCAACAUUAACUGGAAAGAGCAGAAGACAACUGCCGGUAUGUUCCACUUGCUCAAAGAGGAAUACGGAUAAUAUAGCAUCUAUGAUGUAAUGCAGAGGUGGGAGUAUUGAGAAUACAAUGGAUGAGAAGGUUGGACAAUGUUUGCGCUGAUACACUAGCCAAACAAGAGGCCAAUAGGGGUUGUUUGUACUGGGAUCAAUUGUAAUUGUUUUGUUAUAGACUUUUGCGAGAGGCUGCAUCUCACGCCUCUUCUUGGGAUGCUUAUAAUGCCUCUUAAGUUAAUGAAAUCUUCUUUUACUUAUCAAAAGAAAAAUGCAAAGGCGGGAUUAUUCCUGCUGCUGCUUGUACUACAA